rnacentral:rRNA from 1 species
CGGCGACGGGUGAGUAACACGUGGAUAACCUACCUAUAAGACUGGGAUAACUUCGGGAAACCGGAGCUAAUACCGGAUAAUAUAUUGAACCGCAUGGUUCAAUAGUGAAAGACGGUUUUGCUGUCACUUAUAGAUGGAUCCGCGCCGCAUUAGCUAGUUGGUAAGGUAACGGCUUACCAAGGCAACGAUGCGUAGCCGACCUGAGAGGGUGAUCGGCCACACUGGAACUGAGACACGGUCCAGACUCCUACGGGAGGCAGCAGAA